rnacentral:rRNA from 1 species
AGUGAACGCUGGCGGUAGGCCUAACACAUGCAAGUCGAACGGCAGCACAGUAAGAGCUUGCUCUUACGGGUGGCGAGUGGCGGACGGGUGAGGAAUACAUCGGAAUCUACUUUUUCGUGGGGGAUGACGUAGGGAAACUUACGCUAAUACCGCAUACGACCUACGGGUGAAAGCAGGGGAUCUUCGGACCUUGCGCGAUUGAAUGAGCCGAUGUCGGAUUAGCUAGUUGGCGGGGUAAAGGCCCACCAAGGCGACGAUCCGUAGCUGGUCUGAGAGGAUGAUCAGCCACACUGGAACUGAGACACGGUCCAGACUCCUACGGGAGGCAGCAGUGGGGAAUAUUGGACAAUGGGCGCAAGCCUGAUCCAGCCAUACCGCGUGGGUGAAGAAGGCCUUCUGGUUGUAAAGCCCUUUUGUUGGGAAAGAAAAGCAGCAGGUUAAUACCCCGCUGUUCUGACGGUACCCAAAGAAUAAGCACCGGCUAACUUCGUG